CGGGUUUUCCUGCAAUGAUAAUUUUAACCGUUGGGCGGCGCUUUUCUUGUCUUUGCCAUAGGAUGCACUCCCUUGGCGAAGCAAUCUUGAUGCUGUUUCACGGUCCACUCUGCAAUGACGAGAAGACAUAUCCAAACCAGAGACGUAGAAGUGACGGCCCAGAAUUGCAUGGAAUGGCGCAGGAUGGUCCACAAGAGACGUUGCCUUGAUGCAGACCACUUGACACAACGAUGAAGAGACCUUAUCAAGUAUCAAGAAACCGCAUUGAUCUGGAAGUCUGCAGCAGCAGCACAGAAUAGGUCACGUUUUACUGAUCAGAUUAAACAACCAGCUUAGGAGGGUUAAAUUGACAAAAAAAGUCUGAGCAGGACAAAGGAUCACAAAGGUCAUAAACUUAGAACAUGCGAGGGCAAGAGAAGUAGUAUGGGGAUUACAACCCCUAUAUCCACCUACCAAAUUUCAUCAGGAUCAAUCAAAGGCGCUUUUCGAGUGAUGCUGUUCACAGACAGACAGAAAGACAGACAGACAGACAGACAGACAGACAGACGUACAAGCCUAAAACAUAACCUUGUAAUUCUGGCAAAGGUAAUAAAUAUAUCUACCUUCGAAACGCACUUUGAAUACGCACAAAGCUCGCUCCAGGCGCGUAGGAAAUCGCCAGGUCAAGGUUUCGGGUCAAAGUUCAAAUCUGACCGGAUAUCUGUAAUCCGCACUGAAGGCCUCGUUCCGGUAUUACUGCGCGGGUGGGCACUCAGAAGUAUUCCCUCCGAAAUAUGAAUGGGGCCCCAAAAUCGUGUGUUUAUGU